ensembl:lncRNA
GGAACAGUUACUGUUACCACUGUGAUUCCACUUCAUCAGUGUUUUUAAAAUUUCCUAAACUGAUCUGUGAGUUCUAAAGUAGAUAUGUGUUAGGAGCUGCAGUUCAUUAAGAGUAAAUUGAUAUGUAUAAUUCUGAUGUGUUUUCUUCUAGUUGUUGUUCUCACUGCUGAAAUUUUAGUUCCCUGUUACCAGAACAUUGCUCAAGUUUCGAGGCAGUGACGGUGGUAAGUGGCUCACUCUGUGCUGAUGAUAUUUUAGGCAUGCAGUUCCUGAUCUAUUUCAUACUUCACAAGACCCUGUAUGCAUACAUACAAUCAAACCUACUUCUGCAAAUCUUUUCUGUUUUGUUUUUUUCUUGUUGUUGUUGUUUUUCUUCUUCUUCUGCCUACAUGUUCUUACUGUUUUAUUGAGAAGAGUGGUUGUUAAUAUGCCUUGCUGCACUGUCUUUGUGAGAGCUGAUUUUUGGAGAUUUGUCUAACAGUAAAGCAACCGAUUCAACUGAACUGCCCUAUUUCAAGGGUGGAAAACAAACAGGAGUAGGCUUCAGCCCAGUGUGGAAGUCUGCGUGGACAUACACAUAACCUCCUUUAACAAAACAAUCCUGAGGAGGUGCAGAUGUAGCUCUCUAGGCACACUUGGCUAAGCUGUGCCUUGCUGCUACACUAUUUCAUGUAUUAAUAGCACACAAAACUGUUUCUCUUUAACCAAACAUUUCCUGAAUAUAGUCAAGGUGUUACUAGUCCUAACUGUUCUGUCAAGACAACCAAGGCUGGAGUCAUAUGCCUUUUGUUAUGUUAUCUCUGCCAUAGUUAAACUCAUCAGCUCAUUGUCUCAUCAAGGAUAAGAUCACAAGGGAUCACUGGGUCAUGCAGUUUAAACAGUACAUCACAGACCAUCACUUUUCUCUCAUUUGCUGCUGUGCUCUGUCUUCUAUUCAGCUAAGGAGGUAUCCUGUUGUUCUUCAGAUGAGAGAUUUCACCAUUUUCCUAUGGUAGUUUGAUCUCUGUUUAUCUACCACCAAAUUUUUCCUUUGUUAUUUUCU